CGAGGUGCGGUCCCUGUGGCCUGAUGGGGGUGCUCGGACAGCUGGCCUUGUGGUUCUUCAUCGUCCAGCUGCAGACUCUGAUGAAGGCGCUUGGCUUCCACUCUGUCUGGGGCCAAACCAUUUCGGCAGCCAUCGUGGUUGCCAAGUCCGUGAGGAUGGUAUCGCCAGAGGGGACUGCUAAGAGGAGAAGCACAUGGAGGAGCAGGAGGAUCCGGCGAAGAGCCCUGAGGAGGCUCGUGGAGAGGCACGUCCGCAGUGGAAGAUGCAAAGGGAGGUGGGUGUCAUGGAAGGCGGAACGGCUGACGGAGGGCCAGGGUCGAUCCAAGCAAUGCCCAGGAGCUGCCCGCUGCUCACACAGAGUGCAGCCCCUUUGCUCAGAGCACCCUUGGUUGAAUGCCCCAAACCCAGGGCCCCCCUCUGUGCCCUGCCUGGGCCUCUGCAGGGCCUCCCUGAUGGGGUUUCCAUCUCAAGGGGGCCCAAAGGGAGCCCUGCAGUCCCUCACCACCUCCUUUCUCCCUCCCAGCCUGAGACAGAAGUGGCUGCGUGCUGGGCAGCCCCGGCGGUACUGGCUGCGGUCAGUGAGGAGAAGGGGCUGCAUCUUCUGCGACCUGCAGCAGCCCCCCUCGGUGCCAACGGUGGCUGUCUCCGUGCCUGCAGGAGUGCCGGGUGAGGUGCUGAUCAGCUCACCUCCAUCGUCACCUGCACCUCACAGGGUGAAACGAAUCCGCUUUGGGAAAUAGUAAUAUUGCAAAUAAAGGGGGGUGGUUCUUGAACA
rnacentral:lncRNA from 1 species